UACGGAGGGUGCGAGCGUUGUCCGGAAUCACUGGGCGUAAAGCGCACGUAGGCGGAUUCUUAAGUCAGGGGUGAAAUCCCGGAGCUCAACUCCGGAACUGCCUUUGAUACUGAGGAUCUCGAGUUCGGGAGAGGUGAGUGGAACUGCGAGUGUAGAGGUGAAAUUCGUAGAUAUUCGCAAGAACACCAGUGGCGAAGGCGGCUCACUGGCCCGAUACUGACGCUGAGGUGCGAAAGCGUGGGGAGCAAACAGGG
rnacentral:rRNA from 1 species